rnacentral:rRNA from 1 species
UUCCUACGGGAGGCAGCAGUAGGGAAUCUUGCGCAAUGGGCGAAAGCCUGACGCAGCAACGCCGCGUGGGGGGUGAAGGCCUUCGGGUCGUAAACCCCUUUCAGCAGGGACGAAAAUGACGGUACCUGCAGAAGAAGGUCCGGCCAACUACGUGCCAGCAGCCGCGGUAAUACGUAGGGACCAAGCGUUGUCCGGAAUUAUUGGGCGUAAAGAGCUCGUAGGCGGUUCGGUAAGUCGGGUGUGAAAAUCCAGGGCUCAACCCUGGGACGCCACCCGAUACUGCUGUGACUAGAGUCCGGUAGAGGAGCGUGGAAUUCCUGGUGUAGCGGUGAAAUGCGCAGAUAUCAGGAGGAACACCAGCGGCGAAGGCGGCGCUCUGGGCCGGUACUGACGCUGAGGAGCGAAGGCGUGGGGAGCAAACAGGAUUAGAUACCCUGGUAGUCCACGCAGUAAACGUUGGGCACUAGGUAUGGGGUCUUAUCAACGGAUUCCGUGCCGUAGCUAACGCAUUAAGUGCCCCGCCUGGGGAGUACGGCCGCAAGGCUAAAACUCAAAUGAAUUGACGGAA